rnacentral:rRNA from 1 species
GGUCUGAACUCAGAUCACGUAAGAUUUUAAAAGUCGAACAGACUUAAAAUUUAAACAGCUACACCUAAACUUAUAUCUUAAUCCAACAUCGAGGUCGCAAUCUUUUUUAUCAAUAUGAACUCUCCAAAAAAAUUACGCUGUUAUCCCUAAAGUAACUUAAAUUUUUAAUCAUUAAAAAUGGAUCAAUUAUUCAUAAAUUAAUGAAAUUAAAUCUUAAAAGUUAUUCAAAUUUUAAUAUCACCCCAAUAAAAUAUAUUUAUUAUAUUAUAAUUAAAUUUAUCUAUAAAAUUAAAAUAUUAAAUAUAUAAAGAUUUAUAGGGUCUUCUCGUCUUUUAAAUAAAUUUUAGCUUUUUGACUAAAAAAUAAAAUUCUAUUACAAAUUUAAAUGAAACAGUUAAUAUUUCGUCCAACCAUUCAUUCCAGCCUUCAAUUAAAAGACUAAUGAUUAUGCUACCUUUGCACAGUUAAAAUACUGCGGCCAUUUAAAAAAAUCAGUGGGCAGGUCAGACUUUAAAUUAAUUCCUAAAANAC